GUCCUCGCGUUGCCUUUCAGUCAAACCAAUCACAAAAAGAAGAAGAAGAAGAAGAAAGUGUCCCUCCAUUUCAUCUCCAUUGUUGCUGUAAUUCCUUUACCUUUUGCCCUUUUCUUGCCUUUGUCUUCUUCUCCUUCGUCUCCUCCCUCGCGAUUCCCGCCGGCGUCCCCCCCUAGGUUUCCGAUGGGAUUCCGGCGAUGACGGGUUCCGGCGAGCCGGGGCUCCGAUCUGAGGCGCGCGCGCGGCUCUCAAGUUCGCACUUUUGAUCCUCCUCCGGCCGGCGCUCGCCGGGUUCUGAUUUGGGUACCGAGGUUUUUCGCGGGUUUUUGAGGUAAAAGAUGGCCGGACGCGCGCUGGUCCAGGUGUCGGCCGCCGGCGGCCCGGCGGUGCUGAGGCUGGACGCCCUCCCUCGCGGCGGCUCUCCGAAUUGCCUGCCCUGCCUCCCCGCGAAACCCCAGGAGCGCGGGCGGCGGCGGGGUCUAAUCCGGGCGGCGUCCGCCGACCCGGGGCACGCGCAGCAGUCCUCGUCGUCGGCGGCGGCCGAGAAGAAGAGCCCGAUCGCGGUGGUGCUGGACGUGCCGCGCACUAUCUGGCGGCAGACGCUGCGGCCGCUGGGUGAUUACGGGUUCGGGCGGCGGAGCGUCUGGGAAGGCGGGGUCGGGCUGUUUCUGGUGUCGGGCGCCGUGCUCUUGGCGCUAUCUCUGGCUUGGUUGAGGCAAUUCCAAAUGCGGUCCAAGUUCAGGAAGUAUUUGGCCGUUUUCGAAUUCGCGCAGGCUUCGGGAAUCUGCACGGGAACGCCCGUGAGGAUAAGAGGAGUGACUGUUGGAGAAAUCAUCCGGGUCAAUCCAUCAUUGAGAAGUAUUGAAGCAGUCGCCGAGGUUGAUGAUGAGAAGAAAAUCAUACCUCGAAAUGCUCUUGUCGAGGUGAACCAGUCGGGUCUUCUGAUGGAGACUAUGAUCGACAUUACCCCUCGAGACCCCAUUCCGACGCCGUCGGUAAGUCCUCUUCAUCCAGAAUGUGAUAAAGAGGGUCUCAUCAUCUGUGACAGGCAAAAGAUAAAGGGAUAUCAAGGUGUGAGUUUGGAUGCUUUAGUGGGGAUAUUCACCCGGAUUGGACGUGAAGUCGAGGAAAUCGGUGUUGCUAGAAGCUAUUCACUAGUCGAACGAGUUUCCGCAGUCAUUGAAGAGGCAAAGCCACUCUUGGCCAAGCAAUAUUUCAGAUGGAAGCCAUGGCCGAAGAUGUCCAGCCUUUACUUGCUGAGGUUCGCAAUAGUGGUUUGCUGAAGGAGGUGGAGAGUUUGACAAGAAGCCUUACACAAGCCUCUGACGAUAUGAGAAGGGUGCACUCGUCUAUCAUGACUCCAGAGAACACCGAACUGAUUCAGAAAUCCAUCUACACUCUAAUUUUCACGUUGAAGAAUGUUGAGAGUAUAAGUUCCGAUAUUUUGGGGUUCACGGGCGAUGAGGCUACAAGACGAAAUUUGAAAUUGCUUAUCAAGUCCCUCAGCAGGCUACUGUGAAGACUUGCCUACAAGACAAAGUGAUAUUCUGAAGGUGGCAGACCUCGUACCAUAAUUUUUGGGUUCUGUUUCAGGUAAUUAGGCGGGUCAUGUGUCUGUAUACUCUGUUUUUGAGGAUGGAUGGGAGGGAUGGCUCAAUUACUAUUUUUUGGUGAUCGUUUGGGAGCACGAGCAGAGUGUUAAGAAAAUGUUAUUCUGCUGCAUCAAUUACCUUAUCGUGCUUUUGUUUGCUCGAAUUCAUUUUCCUCUAUGACAGACAAUUUAACAUCAUUUUGGCUGCAUUUUUAACUGACA